GUGCCAGCCGCCGCGGUAAUACGGAGGGUGCGAGCGUUAUCCGGAAUUACUGGGUUUAAAGGGUGCGUAGGCGGCCCUGUAAGUCAGGAGUGAAAGUUUGCGGCUCAACCGUAAAAUUGCUUUUGAUACUGCGGGGCUAGAAUUAGGAUGAGGUCAGCGGAAUGUGGCAUGUAGCGGUGAAAUGCAUAGAUAUGCCAUAGAACACCAAUUGCGAAGGCAGCUGGCUAGACCUGGAUUGACGCUGAGGCACGAAAGCGUGGGGAGCGAACAGGAUUAGAUACCCGUGUAGUCC
rnacentral:rRNA from 1 species